rnacentral:rRNA from 1 species
UACGAAGGGGGCUAGCGUUGUUCGGAAUUACUGGGCGUAAAGCGCGCGCAGGCGGUCUUCCAAGUCAGUGGUGAAAGCCCGGAGCUCAACUCCGGAACUGCCAUUGAAACUGUAAGACUUGAGGACGAGAGAGGUGAGUGGAAUUCCCAGUGUAGAGGUGAAAUUCGUAGAUAUUGGGAAGAACACCGGUGGCGAAGGCGGCUCACUGGCUCGUAUCUGACGCUCAGGCGCGACAGCGUGGGGAUCAAACGGG